rnacentral:rRNA from 1 species
UACGGAGGGUGCGAGCGUUGUCCGGAAUCAUUGGGCGUAAAGGGCGCGUAGGUGGCCCGGUCAGUCUUUGGUGAAAGCGCGGGGCUCAACCCUGCGUCGGCCAGGGAUACUGCCGCGGCUCGAGCACUGUAGAGGCAGGCGGAAUUCCGGGUGUAGCGGUGGAAUGCGUAGAGAUCCGGAGGAACACCAGAGGCGAAGGCGGCCUACUGGGCUGCACCUGACGCUGAGCCGCGAAAGCCAGGGGAGCGAACGGG